AUGAUACUCCAUCUGUCCAAAAAUACUUGUCCUAAAAAUGGAUAAAAUGGAUGUAUCUAUAACUAAAAUAAGUCUAGAUACAACCAUUUCUAGGACAAGUAUUUCCGGACGGAGGGAGUACUUU
rnacentral:pre_miRNA from 1 species